CAUAUUAUUUGUUAAAUACGUUAUAUUCAAAUAAUCUUUAGAACCAAUUUUGUAGUUUUAAUUGAGAAGUAUCUAAAAGAAAUAAAUAUAUCAUACGGAAGCAUGUUUCCAAUAUGGCGACGCGCAACUUGAUCUAACCGGAACGUUGCGUAUAAAUCGAACGUAUGCUUCGUUAACCAUCUUUUAAAAUAUUUUUUUUUCAUUAAUAUCGUUUAUUCUGUGAUUUUAGUGGAAUAGAAGAAGUUAGAGAGAUAUAAUUAAUUUUUCCCAGUGUUUAUUCACAAGGAGAUUACAUACAUACAUGUAGAAACCGAACAAGUUAGAAUGAAAGACGGAAAAUCGCUAGGCGAUUCAAUGGCAUGAGCAAGUUCGCAGCGAAAAAUCUUACCAAUGACAGCAUAUAUUUUAUUAAUUAUUAUUUUAUAUAUACAUGUGGUCGUAUUGUACGUAUUUAUUAAUAAAACAUGACCACUGACGUAUAAAGUAUAAGUAUUUAUGAAUCACUUAAAAACAAUUGUAAAUGUGGCACAGCCCAAGUAAAUCCCUGAAGAAAAUCUUUAAGAAUUAAUAAAAUUUCUUUUAUUAUAACUCGCUUUCUCAAACUGAGAUAAAUCACCAAGAUAAUUUUUAUUCAUUCUAAAUUUGAUUAUCAUUUUGAUUUAUCAAAUUUUUUUGAUUCUGGCACUGAAUAUAGCACACAAAAAAUGAAGCAUUUUUAUAAAAAUUUUAUUAAAAAAUAAGAUCAUUGUAGAAUAAAUUCUUACCUGCAUAUUUUUAACAAAUCUUUGCCUCCUCUUCCCUUCUCUAUCUCUUUUCUUUUGAAAUAUAAAUUUUUAUUUAAAUUUUAAAAGCCAAAGUAAUUUGUUAUAUAUCAUCACUUAUCAUUAUCUUUUUUUUUUUUUCUUUCAAGAAAUAUAAAUUUAUAAUCCGUUUACGAUAUGUCGAGGAAUUACUCGACAAAAAAAAAAAAAA